GCUAAUGUAUUGGGACCAGACUUGGUACAAGAAGCUAUUGACAAGGUCCAGUUAAUUAGACAGAGGUUGCUCACGGCUCAAAGCAGACAAAAGUCUUAUGCGGAUAAGAGAAGAAGAGAUUUAGUGUUCACAGUUGGGGACAAAGUUUUCUUGCGAGUCUCUCCUAUGAAAGGUGUGAUGCGAUUCGGAAAAAGAGGUAAAUUGAGUCCGAGAUUUAUAGAACCAUAUGAGAUACUUGAGCGCGUAGGAGGGGUAGCUUAUCGUUUGGCACUUCCUCUUGAGAUGUCUUUUAUCCAUCCAAUGUUUCAUGUUUCUAUGCUAAGAAAAUGCAUAUCAGACCCUUCUCGUGUGCUGGAAGCACCGACUAUAACGCUUGAUGAGAACUUGACGUAUGAGGAGGAGCCAGUGGCUAUUGUUGACAGACAAGAAAGGAAGUUAUGGUCAAAAGAAAUUGUGUCCGUGAAAGUCUUAUGGAGAAAUCAUGCCAUUGAAGAAGCUACUUGGGAGUCCGAGAACGAUAUGCGAGCCAAGUAUCCCCACUUGUUUCAGUCUAUAGGUAUGCUCUUAUUUUAAAUUCGGGGACCGAAUUUCUUAAGGUGGAGAGAAUGUAAUAUCCUAUAUUUAAGUGUAGGUAUUUAAUUAAUUAAACUUAAAACAAAAAAAACAAAAAAGAAUAAAGGGCAUGUUGGGCCGCAGCCCUUAAAUGAAAAAAAAAAAAAAAAAAAAAAAAAGAGGAGACAAUGGGCCUUGGCUAUCAGAUACGUAAUAAGGAAAUAAGGGCAAAAUGUGAAGAGAUGUGAGUUGAAGUUUGGGCAGCCACUUUAGAAAAGAAAAAAAAAAUAGAACCUACACCAUUUUAAAAAAAUAAUAAUAAUAACCCCUGAGGCAAAGUUAGAAAUAGAAGCAGAAGCUUCAUCCGGAUUCAACAUUCCUUCCGCCUUUCUUCAACUUCAGUUAUCAAUUCAAGAUUCACACACGAAUUGAGCAGUUUGGAUCGAUAAAGAGUCGAGCUUUGGUUAGUUGGCAUCGAGAGAGACCGCAGGUGACGUUGGUGAGGAUUACGGUAACUAGAGAGCACGAGUUGAAAGUUCCUGGUGAGCCCGCACUUGUCCACGUGGGCCAAGAUUGUAUUAUCCAUGAUGGUCUUUUUUUUUGAAUUCUUAGAGUUGCUCCAUAGUCAUUUGAUUUAUUCCAUGAGUAUUCUUUAUUCAUUAUAGACUGGUGACUAGUAUUAGGCGUUUUUCCCGUAUUUCAGAGAUGUUUUAGUAUUAUUACGUUGAAAACGGGUUGAUUGAGGAUGAUUGCAUUUAGUUUGGUUGAGAUUGGAUAUUUUUGUUGUUGAUUUUGAGACAGGAAAGUUUUGGAUAGUCAUAAAAACAGGGGAAA